rnacentral:rRNA from 1 species
GACGUAGGGCGCGAGCGUGUCCGGAUUUAUUGGGCGUAAAGAGCUCGUAGGUGGCUUGUCGCGUCGAAUGUGAAAACUCGGGGCUCAACCCCGCGCUUGCAUCGAUACGGGCAGGCUCGAGUUCGGUAGGGGAGACUGGAAUUCCUGGUGUAGCGGUGAAAUGCGCAGAGUAUCAGGAGGAACACCGGUGGCGAAGGCGGGUCUCUGG